rnacentral:sRNA from 1 species
AUGUACCCACGUACAUUCCGGUUCCUGCGCGCCGUCCGCACCCACCUGACGGCUGCUCGCUACGUUUUGUUAGCC